GGAUGUGGCUCAGAGGGAGGGCAAGCUGUUUUGCAUGCAAGAACGUCCCAGGUUCAAUCCCCGGCAUGUCCA